rnacentral:rRNA from 1 species
AGAAUCAACGCUGGCGGCGUGCCUAACACAUGCAAGUCGCACGAGAAAGGGGAGCAAUCCCUGAGUAAAGUGGCGCACGGGUGAGUAACACGUGAAUAAUCUACCUCCGAGUGGGGAAUAACUGAGAGAAAUCUUAGCUAAUACCGCAUAAUACCCACGGGUCAAAGCAGCAAUGCGCUUGGAGAGGAGUUCGCGGCCGAUUAGUUAGUUGGCGGGGUAAUGGCCCACAAGACGAUGAUCGGUA